rnacentral:rRNA from 1 species
AUUGAACGCUGGCGGCAGGCCUAACACAUGCAAGUCGAGCGGCAGCGGAAAGUAGCUUGCUACUUUGCCGGCGAGCGGCGGACGGGUGAGUAAUGUCUGGGAAACUGCCUGAUGGAGGGGGAUAACUACUGGAAACGGUAGCUAAUACCGCAUAACGUCGCAAGACCAAAGAGGGGGACCUUCGGGCCUCUUGCCAUCAGAUGUGCCCAGAUGGGAUUAGCUAGUAGGUGGGGUAACGGCUCACCUAGGCGACGAUCCCUAGCUGGUCUGAGAGGAUGACCAGCCACGCUGGAACUGAGACACGGUCCAGACUCCUACGGGAGGCAGCAGUGGGGAAUAUUGCACAAUGGGCGCAAGCCUGAUGCAGCCAUGCCGCGUGUAUGAAGAAGGCCUUCGGGUUGUAAAGUACUUUCAGCGGGGAGGAAGGCGAUAAGGUUAAUAACCUUGUCGAUUGACGUUACCCGCAGAAGAAGCACCGGCUAACUCCGUGCCAGCCGCCGCCGUAA